rnacentral:rRNA from 1 species
AGCGAACGCUGGCGGCAGGCUUAACACAUGCAAGUCGAGCGGGCAUCUUCGGAUGUCAGCGGCAGACGGGUGAGUAACACGUGGGAACGUACCCUUCGGUUCGGAACAACUCUGGGAAACUGGAGCUAAUACCGGAUACGCCCUUAUGGGGAAAGGUUUACUGCCGAAGGAUCGGCCCGCGUCUGAUUAGCUAGUUGGUGGGGUAACGGCCUACCAAGGCGACGAUCAGUAGCUGGUCUGAGAGGGUGAUCAGCCACACUGGGACUGAGACACGGCCCAGACUCCUACGGGAGGCAGCAGUGGGGAAUAUUGGACAAUGGGCGCAAGCCUGAUCCAGCCAUGCCGCGUGAGUGAUGAAGGCCUUAGGGUUGUAAAGCUCUUUUGUCCGGGACGAUAAUGACGGUACCGGAAGAAUAAGCCCCGGCUAACUUCGUG